UCAAUGAUCCUAUCCAUGGACAUAUGGAGUUUCAUCCUAUUCUGGUUAAAAUCAUAGACACACCUCAGUUCCAGAGACUUCGAUACAUCAAACAGCUGGGAGGAGCCUAUUUCGUUUACCCAGGAGCAUCUCACAGCAGAUUUGAACACUCACUCGGAGUGGCACACUUAGCCGGGCUGUUUUUUGAAAGCUUUACAAAAGGAUCAACCAGAAAUUAUUGAUGACAAGGACAUACUUUGUGUGCAAAUUGCUGGUCUUUGCCAUAACCUUGGACACGGACCUUUUUCAGAUGUGUUUGACAGAAUCUUCUUUAAAAAACACAACCCAGACCUUGAUUGGAAGUUACAGAGGAGCGAACUGUCUGCUGAACUUUUCGAAGAAAUCGCAGGAACUGUGCUUCAGACGGAUCUGUCAGAUGAUGACAAGACUUUCAUUAAAGAAAUUAUCAAAGGGAUUGACUAUGAAC